rnacentral:rRNA from 1 species
AGAGUUUGAUCCUGGCUCAGGACGAACGCUGGCGGCACGCUUAACACAUGCAAGUCGAACGAGAGAAGAGGAGCUUGCUUUUCCGAUCUAGUGGCGGACGGGUGAGUAACACGUGAGCAAUCUGCCUUUCAGAGGGGGAUACCGAUUGGAAACGAUCGUUAAUACCGCGUAACAUAAUUGAACCGCAUGAUUUGAUUAUCAAAGAUUUAUCGCUGAAAGAUGAGCUCGCGUCUGAUUAGCUAGUUGGUAAGGUAACGGCUUACCAAGGCGACGAUCAGUAGCCGGACUGAGAGGUUGAUCGGCCACGUUGGGACUGAGACACGGCCCAGACUCCUACGGGAGGCAGCAGUGGGGAAUAUUGCACAAUGGAGGAAACUCUGAUGCAGCGAUGCCGCGUGAGGGAAGAAGGUUUUAGGAUUGUAAACCUCUGUCUUCAGGGACGAAAAAAGACGGUACCUGAGGAGGAAGCUCCGGCUAACUACGUGCCAGCAGCCGCGGUAAUACGUAGGGAGCGAGCGUUGUCCGGAAUUACUGGGUGUAAAGGGAGCGUAGGCGGGAUCGCAAGUCAGAUGUGAAAACUAUGGGCUUAACCCAUAAACUGCAUUUGAAACUGUGGUUCUUGAGUGAAGUAGAGGUAAGCGGAAUUCCUAGUGUAGCGGUGAAAUGCGUAGAUAUUAGGAGGAACAUCAGUGGCGAAGGCGGCUUACUGGGCUUUAACUGACGCUGAGGCUCGAAAGCGUGGGGAGCAAACAGGAUUAGAUACCCUGGUAGUCCACGCCGUAAACGAUGAUUACUAGGUGUGGGGGGACUGACCCCUUCCGUGCCGCAGCAAACGCAAUAAGUAAUCCACCUGGGGAGUACGACCGCAAGGUUGAAACUCAAAGGAAUUGACGGGGGCCCGCACAAGCAGUGGAGUAUGUGGAUUAAUUCGAAGCAACGCGAAGAACCUUACCAGGUCUUGACAUCGUAUGCAUAGCUCAGAGAUGAGUGAAAUCUCUUCGGAGACAUAUAGACAGGUGGUGCAUGGUUGUCGUCAGCUCGUGUCGUGAGAUGUUGGGUUAAGUCCCGCAACGAGCGCAACCCUUACUGUUAGUUGCUACGCAAGAGCACUCUAGCAGGGCUGCCGUUGACAAAACGGAGGAAGGUGGGGAUGACGUCAAAUCAUCAUGCCCCUUAUGACCUGGGCCUCACACGUACUACAAUGGCUGUCAACAGAGGGAAGCAAAGCCGCGAGGUGGAGCGAACCCCUAAAAGCAGUCUUAGUUCGGAUUGUAGGCUGCAACCCGCCUACAUGAAGUCGGAAUUGCUAGUAAUCGCAGAUCAGCAUGCUGCGGUGAAUACGUUCCCGGGCCUUGUACACACCGCCCGUCACGCCAUGGGAGUCGGUAACACCCGAAGCCUGUAGUCUAACCGCAAGGAGGACGCAGUCGAAGGUGGGAUUGAUGACCGGGGUGAAGUCGUAACAAGGUA